ensembl:lncRNA
CUGCGCGGCACCUCUAGGUUCACACGCGCUCACACACCUUCCCUCGUGAGAUCAAGGAAAAGGAGGGAAGAGGAGACUAGAGAGAGAGAGAGAGAGAGAGAGAGUCAUGCCCUAUAGACCCAUCAACAACCAUUCUGCAUCACUGCAGGAGCUCAAACUCCUCUCGCCCUCAACCUGUACUACUACCAGACCCCCUGCAGCUAUAAACAGCAAUGACACACACAAACACACCUGGAGAUGCAUAAAGCAGGAGAGGCAGAGUUCUCAGCUCCUGUCCCAGUGUCAGCCUCUGGAGACUCAGCCCUGAAAGACUGGGAGGUCAAAAAUUAAAUUCAAUGUGACUGGAGCAAAAUGAACGGUGACAUCUUCCUUUUUCAUCCCUGCUACAUGUUUCUCCAAGCUUUAAGUAAAAGAUUGAAAAGAGCUUUUGGCAGAUAGAGGAGACUGGCCUUGUGUACAAGGUGAAAAGCAGACCAAUGGCAUUCUUAUUUAUGCUAAAUCUCAGCAUGGAGGCCAGGGUAAAAAUUUAAUCUGAGGAUGACUUGUGAGGCAAAAAGUGAUUAUAUAUAGAGGUAUGCAUGUGAAAGCAUUACAACUGUCAGGGUUUAGAUACUCCUGGGAAAUGCAUAUGUAGCAAUGGGCUGUGCUUCUGGACUUCAGAAUUUCAAUUAAAACUUUGGACAUAGUAAGAGACAUCAGAUGGGAGAUCUUGGGCCUUUUAGGCAUUCAAGGAAGAGCUCUGUUCAUUUUUUACUUCCUGAAAUCAUAUGUUUGCAUAUUUAAUCACUGCACUGAUAUUACAAAUUCAUUGUUAAAAAUGUUUUUUUUUUAUGUUAAAAAUGUUGCAAUAGCAAGAAGAAAUCAAAAUAUCCAAUACACGUCCUAUGAAUCACCAACAUAAAUAGAAAGUGGCUUCAAAUGGGAUUACGUGGUAGGAAAUACAGUCAUUUCUGCCGUUCUGGAAGAUUGAAAUACAUCACUGACUGCAAGCAUGACCAGUACGACAAGCGUCCAGUCCACAAAUGUUUUAGACAUUUAUUACUCCUUUUAGCAUAAUGAAAACGAACUCCACAGAUAAAAAGGUCAUCUAAUGGUCAUUAAUAAUGCUAGCCAUCCAGUUCAUACUUCCCCAGGGCUCACUUGAUUAUGUCACUGCUCAUUACUCAAAUGCCUCCU